rnacentral:tRNA from 1 species
GGUGGAGUGACUCAAGUGGUCAAGUGUCUGCUUAGCAAGCAUAAAGCCCUGAGUUCAAUCCUCAGUCCUAUCC